GCAAACUUGGUCAUUUAGAGGAAGUAAAAGUCGUAACAAGGUUUCCGUAGGUGAACCUGCGGAAGGAUCAUUACCGAGUUAGGGUCUUCACGGCCCGACCUCCAACCCUUGUGUUAAAACUACCACGUUGCUUCGGCGAGCCCGACCUCUCGGGGUCCGCCGGCAGGCCUCUAGGCGUGCUGGCCCGCGCUCGUCGGUGGCCCACAACCCAAAACUCUUGUUAAACUGUGUUUUGCCUGAGUCAGAAUUUAUAAUUAAAACAAAACUUUCAACAACGGAUCUCUUGGUUCUGGCAUCGAUGAAGAACGCAGC
rnacentral:misc_RNA from 1 species